rnacentral:rRNA from 1 species
GACGUAGGGCGCAAGCGUUGUCCGGAUUUAUUGGGCGUAAAGAGCUCGUAGGCGGCUUGUCGCGUCGACUGUGAAAACCCGGGGCUCAACCAUGUGGUCUGCAGUCGAUACGGGCAGGCUAGAAUUCGGUAGGGGAGACUGGAAUUCCUGGUGUAGCGGUGAAAUGCGCAGAUAUCAGGAGGAACACCCAUAGCGAAGGCAGCUCGCUGGGACGGUACUGACGCUGAGGCGCGAAAGCGUGGGGAGCGAACAGG